GCGGGGCUACCCGCUGAGUUUAAGCAUAUCAA
rnacentral:rRNA from 1 species